CCGUGGUCCAGUGUGGGUUAGCAUCCCUCUUGUUCUCGGUACUUUCUCUGAAAGCAUCCAGCUAAAUCGCAUGAACUCGUCAUGUUUCUGAUGUGAUUCAGAUCGGAUGAUAAGUAGAAAUUUCAUCCUUUUUGUGGAGAAUCAACAUUGCGAGAGAAGCCGUCCGUGCACUCGAUAAAAGCUGUCUCGACUUCGCCAUCUACUGCACUGAGAUUUCGGUGAAGUUGCCGUUGCUGAGCGCUGGAGUGUGUUGUGCCAUCCUGCAAUCUGAAGUUUGUAGUGUAUAAAUCAAAAAUUGGGGUGUGCAUAAAGUUCAAAGUGUAGAGUAUUUGCACAAUUUCGUGUGUAGUGAUUACAACGUCCAAAAUGUGAUUUUUUCUUGAAAUCGAUCCGUUCCUCUAUACUGAGCAUUUAAUUUAAAUAAAUGUGGAUAGUUGAAAUAAACGUGAUUAGGUGAAUGAAUGGUGAUUAUAUAUAGGUGAUGAACUCCUGAGCAUCUGAGAGUCAUAAAUUACAUGAGAUAAAUUAAAUUUCAAAGAGUGAUUAGUUAUUUAGUGAACGAUAUCUUGGAGUGGCGUAGUAAGCAAAUACGGUUCUUCAUUAGACAACGAAAAAUUGUGAACAAUAUGUGCUACGACUUUACAUGUGUGUGCACAGUUUGGCAAGAUAGGCGUGACACGAUUUUUUGAUAAGUCACGAAUAAAACAUCGAAUUGGUAGAGUAUACGCUUCACGUUUUUCGCAAUGCUCGUCAUGAAAUGAUGAUUGUGGAUUAUUGAAAGAUAAUAAAAAUCUUGAGCAUACUGUAUGAAAAUUAGCGGCAUACUUGUGAACUGCUGUUGAAGCUAAAAUUAAGAAAGGUGAUAUACUUUCCUCAAUUUACCGGUCGUAGUCAUUCUAAAGAACUUUUUUGGAAACUUUUUCUUCCAAUAAGUCCAUUUAGUACCGAUUGCAAUAGUUGGGAGUUUGAUGACUGUGCAAUGCACUUUUCCCACAAGAAAGAUGACAAGUUGCAAGAUGCAAGUCGCAUUCUCGACUAAACCCUAAUCGCCCUGACGUCGCCCAUUAGUCGUAACUUGGAAUACAAUCCUGACGACUGAUCGUGCUCCCGACUGGAAUCUUCCGUCAUCUGCAUUCUUCCCUGCAUUCUAGUGCAAGAAAAAAGCUUCCCCGAUAACAUCCCGCUUCAAAAUGGCGCUCCUGAGCUCGCGGAGCAGCUCUCCCCCCCACGUCCCCCUCGUACCUCUCGCCCCCCUCGUACGUCUCGUCCCCCUCGUGCUGCUGCUCGUGAUGAGCUGCGGCGCCGCUAGCGCCUCCUCACAUCUCGCCCGAGACUCUGAC